GCCUCUACAAGUGUGACAUCAGCGGUCAUGGAGAGUCUCCAUCCAGCUGGAUCACUGUCACAGAAAAACAUAUAACCACGCCCCCUGACUCGUCCUUACUCCACUUUGUGAUUAGACUGCUCUUCCACCUGGUGAUGUUCUGUCCAUAUGUCAUCUCCACUCUCCUCAUGGUGUCUUUGUAUCGAAAGACAGCUAAAGGAAAAAUCUUCCGUGUCUCAAUCCUGCCCAUUCAGCCUGAGCAGGGACUGGACGAUGAGCAUUACGAUGUCAUCUCUGAUGUCACCACAGAGUAUCACUUCUGAAUCAGAGCUCUGUUGCUUCUCUUUAGGUCUCACUAACUUUGUCCUCUCCACCUCUGUUGUGAAUCUUAUCUGAAUAAAAGGACUCUGAUGUUCAUCUCUGGAUAUUUUUAUGUAGAUAAACAGCAAAUGUUCCCAAGAAAAUCUACUGGAGCUCUCAAUAGAAAUUAUAUUGACUUAUGAUUUUAUGCCCCACACUCAGUCACUACAACCAAUUUUAGAGUUUCUCCACCUGCUGAACCCACUUUAACCUCUGACUGUGCACAUUUUACUGUUUGCAGGAAAAGUCAUCGUCUACAAUGACUGAAAAUAGAGCUAAUUUCGACUUUCUUACUUUGAGUACAUCUCAGAGCCUGCACUUUUCUACUUAUACUUGAGUGAGGAACUUGAAUCAGUACUUCAACUUUUACUGGAGUAUUUUUUUACAGUAGUGUUUGUAUUUGUACUUAAGGACAGAAUGUCUGAACUUUUGCCAACUCUGCUUGCUCUGCCUCCUUCGCGAUCAUCAGUUUGAAC